rnacentral:rRNA from 1 species
UGGGGAAUAUUGGGCAAUGGGCGAAAGCCUGACCCAGCGACGCCGCGUGAGGGAAGAAGGUCUUCGGAUUGUAAACCUUAGUUAUCGGGGAAGAAGCAAGUGACGGUACCCGAAGAGAAAGCCACGGCUAACUACGUGCCAGCAGCCGCGGUAAUACGUAGGUGGCAAGCGUUGUCCGGAUUUACUGGGUGUAAAGGGCGUGUAGCCGGGUCUGCAAGUCAGAUGUGAAAUCCAUGGGCUUAACCCAUGAACUGCAUUUGAAACUGUGGAUCUUGAGUGCUGGAGGGGCAAUCAGAAUUCCUAGUGUAGCGGUGAAAUGCGUAGAUAUUAGGAGGAACACCAGUGGCGAAGGCGGAUUGCUGGACAGUAACUGACGGUGAGGCGCGAAAGUGUGGGGAGCAAACAGGAUUAGAUACCCUGGUAGU